rnacentral:rRNA from 1 species
UUCCGGUUGAUCCUGCCGGACCCGACUGCUAUCAGAGUGAGAUUAAGCCAUGCGAGUUAACGUAGCAAUACGUGGCGCACGGCUCAGUAACACGUAGUCAACAUGCCCAGAGGACGUGGAUAACCUCGGGAAACUGAGUCUAAACCGCGAUAAGUGAGGAUUUCUGGAAUGGUUCCUGACUAAAAUCUAUAUGGCCUCUGGAUUGGACUGCGGCCGAUCAGGCUGUUGGUGAGGUAAUGGCCCACCAAACCUGUAACCGGUACGGGCUCUGAGAGGAGGAGCCCGGAGAUGGGCACUGAGACAAGGGCCCAGGCCCUAUGGGGCGCAGCAGGCGCGAAACCUCUGCAAUAGGUGAAAGCCUGACAGUGUUACUCUGAGUGACUUUCGCUAAGAAAGUCUUUUGGUACCUCUAAAAAGGGUGCAGAAUAAGGGGUGGGCAAGUCUGGUGUCAGCCGCCGCGGUAAUACCAGCACCCCGAGUGGUCGGGACGAUUAUUGGGCCUAAAGCAUCCGUAGCCGGUUCUGCAAGUCCCCCGUUAAAUCCAGCUGCUCAACAGAUGGGCCGCGGAGGAUACUACAGAGCUAGGAGGCAGGAGAGGCAAGCGGUACUCAGUGAGUAGGGGUAAAAUCCGUUGAUCCAUUGAAGACCACCAGUGGCGAAGGCGGCUUGCCAGAAUGCGCUCGACGGUGAGGGAUGAAAGCUGGGGGAGCAAACCGGAUUAGAUACCCGGGUAGUCCCAG